UUGUCGUCAGCUCGUGUCGUGGGAUGUUCGGGUUAAGUCCCGCAACGAGCGCAACCCUCGACCUUAGUUGCCAGCAUUCAGUUGGGCACUCUAAGGUGACUGCCGGCUAAAAGUCGGAGGAAGGUGGGGAUGACGUCAAAUCAUCAUGCCCCUUAUGACCUGGGCUACACACGUGCUACAAUGGGCGGUACAAAGGGUCGCGAACCCGCGAGGGGGAGCCAAUCCCAAAAAGCCGCUCUCAGUUCGGAUUGCAGGCUGCAACUCGCCUGCAUGAAGCCGGAAUCGCUAGUAAUCGCGGAUCAGCAUGCCGCGGUGAAUACGUUCCCGGGCCUU
rnacentral:rRNA from 1 species